rnacentral:tRNA from 1 species
GAAUGUUUAGUUUAAUAUAAAACAAUUGUUUUGAAAACAUUUCAAAAGACUCAUGUCUUAACAUUCU